AACGAACGCUGGCGGCGCGUUUUAAGCAUGCAAGUCGAACGGCAGGACGGGUAGCAAUACUUGUCUGAGAGUGGCGAACGGGUGAGUAACACGUAGGUGAUCUACCCCUGGAUGGGGAUAGUCCGUGGAAACACGGGGUAAUACCGCAUGAGGCCUUUGGGGUGAAGCCCAGAGGUGAAAGGUGCAACUGCACCGUCUGGAGAUGAGCCUGGGGCCCAUUAGGCAGUUGGCGGGGUAAAGGCCCACCAAACCGACGAUGGGUAGCCGGCCUGAGAGGGUGUACGGCCACCCUGGAACUGAGACACGGUCCAGACUCCUACGGGAGGCAGCAGCUAAGAAUCUUCCGCAAUGGGGGAAACCCUGACGGAGCGACGCCGCGUGGACGAUGAAGGCCGUAAGGUUGUAAAGUCCUUUUGCAGGAGAAGAAUAAAUCAGGGAGUGGAAAGCCCUGGUGAUGACGUUAUCCUGCGAAUAAGCCCCGGCCAAUUACGUGCCAGCCGCCGCCGUAACAC
rnacentral:rRNA from 1 species